GACGAACGCUGGCGGCGUGCUUAACACAUGCAAGUCGAACGGAAAGGCCCUGCUUUUGUGGGGCGCUCGAGUGGCGAACGGGUGAGUAACACGUGAGUAACCUGCCCUUGACUUUGGGAUAAAUUCAGGAAACUGGGGCUCAUACCGGAUAGGAGAUCCUGCUGCAUGGUGGGGGUUGGAAAGAUUCGGCGGUUGGGGAUGGACUCGCGGCUUAUCAGCUUGAUGGUGGGGUAGUGGUUUACAAAGGCUUUGACGGGUAGCCGGCCUGAGAGGGUGACCGGCCACAUUGGUACUGAGGUACGGCCCAGACUCCUACGUGAGGCAGCAGUGGAGAAUAUUGCACAAUGGGCGGAAGCCAGAUGCAGCAACGCCGCGUGCGGGAUGACGUCCUUCUGGUUAUAAACCGCUUUCGCCUGUGACGAAGCGUGAGUGACGGUAAUGGGUAAAGAAGCACCGGCUAACUACGUG
rnacentral:rRNA from 1 species